CAUCAUCUCGGUGUAGACUAGUGCUGGAUAGCUCUUCCUUGGGUAUAACGUCCGUGCCAUCCUCACGGUCGGUUAUCACCAGGUCGUCUAGCAUUUCUUCCUUGGGUUCUAUGAGGCAGUCAGCAUAACAUGUAGACUUGUGGAAUUGCUCCAUCUUGGUGUUUUAGUUCAAUUUAUUGCACCAGCGAGUUGCACUUUCUAUAAUCCUGUAACACAAAAUUAGAUCUAAGUCA